GACCUCAGAUCAGGCAAGGCUACCCGCUGA
rnacentral:rRNA from 2 species